rnacentral:rRNA from 1 species
AGUCGAACGGUACAUGAGAGCUUGCUCUCGGUGACGAGUGGCGCACGGGUGCGUAACACGUAUGCAACCUACCUUCAACUGGGGAAUAGCCCGAAGAAAUUCGGAUUAAUACCCCAUAAUAAUAGAAAUUCGCAUGUUUUUCUAUUUAAAACUCCGGUGGUUGAAGAUGGGCAUGCAUCCUAUUAGUUAGUUGGUGAGGUAACGGCUCACCAAGACUCCGAUAGGUAGGGGUUCUGAGAGGAAGAUCCCCCACACUGGUACUGAGACACGGACCAGACUCCUACGGGAGGCAGCAGUGAGGAAUAUUGGACAAUGGACGAAAGUCUGAUCCAGCCAUGCCGCGUGUAGGAAGACUGCCCUCUGGGUUGUAAACUACUUUUAUAAGGGAAUAAAACCCCCGUACGUGUACGGGGCUGAAUGUACCUUAAGAAUAAGCACCGGCUAACUCCGUGCCAGCAGCCGCGGUAAUACGGAGGGUGCAAGCGUUAUCCGGAUUUAUUGGGUUUAAAGGGUCCGUAGGUGGAAUUGUAAGUCAGUGGUGAAAUCUUUCGGCUUAACCGGAAAACUGCCAUUGAUACUGCAGUUCUUGAGUA